AGAAGGCCAAACAGAGGAGUUCUAGCCAGAUCCCAAAGGAAAGAUUUUUCCUCCUUUUGUAAGUGAUUCUGCAGAAGUGAAAGAAACAACUACAAUUCACCACUCCGCCGUUUCCAGCAACAGACAAGGCAUUAAAAGGCUCAAAUCACCCAACAGCAUUUAUGCCAUACAUCAGAUAAAUGAAAUAAUUAAAAAGAAUGUCGUUUUUGCACAGAAUGAUGGCAGAGAAUUUGACCACACUGAUGUGCCUGUCAUAGAGCUAGAGAAAUUUGGGUGCGGCUGAUUGUCUCAGGUGAAAAAAAUGUGAAGUAAGGGCAUGAGCUAAGAUUUAAGGAGACUCAAAUUCUCAGCUGUACUACCAGCUUGCUGGAUGAGCUGUUACAAAGUAUUUUCCCAAGGAACUUGCUUUUGACCUGGCACAUGAGGCUGACUCACAUGAAUGAGCUGAGCAGCACAAUAGGGACAAUUCCAGUUUGAAAGGAAAGGAGACUACACUGGUGCAGAACUGCAGAGAACAUGGCUUCUGAAUGAGUCUGAGGAGGCACUAUCACAGACUCUUGCAAACAUUUCAAGACACUGUGCAUCAGCCAUGUUGUCAAGUCUAACAAAAACCCAGCAAACAUCAUUUAUAUCAAGGCCUUUGUAGAGCUAUGUCAUUAAAACAUCAGGAAGGUUGAAGGAUGACUUUUCUUUCUUUAGUUGAUAUGAUUCUGAACAAUACAUCAUUGAGUAUCAAGACAAAAGAUUUUUUCUGUUUGUCUGUUCUUGUACAAGACAGACACGUCUUGUGAAAUGAUUCCAAACUCAUUAUUGCUAUCCUUGCACUUCUCCAUAGCCAUAUAACAGCUGGACUAGCUCACAUCGAGGAUGCCCACAUUAAAAGAUAACAGCAUCCUUUGGUAGCAGAAACUAUAGGCUUUCAGCAUUCUCUGGCUUUCAUGGUUUGACUAGCUCUGAACAUUACACCAAAACUCAGCAAGAUAACUAAAGAACAGAAAGUACCAACAUUCACAAAAGGCAAACAUCUGAAUAUGAACACAUUGCUGUUAAUAUCCUUUAGUAUUCAGUUUUAAUGAAAUUCACAGACACAGACUGUCCUUUAGCACAAAUGCAUUCAAAACUAGUAAUUCCUUGUUCUUGUUCCACCUUUAUUCCACUUCCACCAUGGUAGUCUAACACUUCUCAACUCAGAUUACAGCUUCACAAGAGAGAAGUUUAUGUCCAAAUACUCCAAUGGGUGACUUCCACCUUAACUGGAGAAUCCUGGGUAAUGGAAAACAAGUUUUUCCAACAAGAUUGGACAGAGGCAAGUCCAAUCAUUCUGUCACAAGACAGGGAAAAGUCAUACAGGCCACCAACGAUGGUUGUGCCUGCAAUCACUGGGGUCAUCCUUUUAGCAUUGCUAGUUCAGACAAGCCAUCAACUACCAAAUCAAUCCAGCCACACCACUCAAGAUACAUGACAACCGCAGGACUUGAACUGCUACAUCUAUCUUCAGCACCUAGGACUACACAUCCACUAGUGAGCAUGAAAGCACUACUACAGUCUGUGGGGCACAGUUAAGAUGUAUGUAAAAAUGCAAUUGAAAAUAGUCUCCAAGCAAUAUAGUUUAAAAGGCCUCACUGCUCCAGCUGUGUGUUCAUGUUUUUUUUUUUACUCUUCUCUGCAUCUUGAAAAGCAAAAUCUGAUCAGACAUCUAACUAGGAUAGAAAUAUUCAUGCAGUCUGUUCUAGGUGGGUUAUGUAUUGUCAAAUACUAUACAACAGCGAAUGCUACAACCUUAUCACCUGCAGAUGCAGUUGAAUGGCAGCACAAAUCCAGUUUUUUAAAUGCACUAAUUUAAAAACAUCUGAGAUUUGCCCACGAGUUCUACUCAACAUCCCAUAAUGCUAGACGGUUUUCUUCCUCUAACAUUCUUGAUUAUUAAAAAA
ensembl:lncRNA